AGUGAACGCUGGCGGUAGGCCUAACACAUGCAAGUCGAACGGCAGCACAGAGGAGCUUGCUCCUUGGGUGGCGAGUGGCGGACGGGUGAGGAAUACAUCGGAAUCUACUUUUUCGUGGGGGAUAACGUAGGGAAACUUCCGCUAAUACCGCAUACGACCUACGGGUGAAAGCGGGGGAUCUUCGGACCUUGCGCGGUUGAAUGAGCCGAUGUCGGAUUAGCUAGUUGGCGGGGUAAAGGCCCACCAAGGCGACGAUCCGUAGCUGGUCUGAGAGGAUGAUCAGCCACACUGGAACUGAGACACGGUCCAGACUCCCACGGGAGGCAGCAGUGGGGAAUAUUGGACAAUGGGCGCAAGCCUGAUCCAGCCAUACCGCGUGGGUGAAGAAGGCCUUCGGGUUGUAAAGCCCUUUUGUUGGGAAAGAAAUCCAGCCGGCUAAUACCUGGUUGGGAUGACGGUACCCAAAGAAUAAGCACCGGCUAACUUCGUGCCAGCCGCCGCCGUAACAC
rnacentral:rRNA from 1 species